rnacentral:tRNA from 16 species
AGUGGCCCAGCGGUAGCACGGUACAUUUUUGUCCGCGCUACCCUGGUUCGAUUCCCGUUUUGGCC